rnacentral:tRNA from 1 species
CUGGGUGUUGCAAAUGGUUAAUGUGCUUGGCUGCUAACCAAAAGGUUAGAGGUUCGAGUCUACCCAGA